UCCCCUCUUCAUUGGGAACUUGGCCAUGUGUUUACUGGCCAUGAACACAGGAGCCAAAAUGUUUGUGCAAGGGGGAGAGGAUUCUGGUGCAGCUCUGCCACUUGGGGAGUGAAGCCUCUAUGACAUAUCUUGUGGGGAUAACAAUCCCUACAUACAUUGUAGGUGCACACAAAACUGCUACCAGCCAGCUACCAUGCUGCAUUAGAGAGGGAGACAUCUGUACCUCUGCCAUAAGGGAAGCACUGCAAGGGGUAAAAGAGGCCAUAACAGUGGAUCACAAAGUUGUACAAAUCCUCCCCAUAAUUAAUCUAUGAGCAAGGUUAAGCUGAGGAACUAGAAAUCCCAUAAACUCCGCCUAACAUGGCCAGCAAUUGGAGGGUCUGGGAGCUGCAAUCCUAAACCUCUGCAAUGUGUCAGAUGGCCUGCUUUCAUUUCUGACCCAUGAUGGGGAAAGACACUUUUGUCAGUUGUAGCUGGAAAAUGAAAAGUAAAUAAAAGAACGCAAACAGAAAAACGGAUUGUGCCA
rnacentral:lncRNA from 1 species